rnacentral:tRNA from 1 species
CAUUAAUCUGUAUGCCACUAUUUUCCCUAUUUUAGUUAUUAUAGACUUAUAUGCUUUUAAAAUAUAUAUUUAACUUGUUAUUUAUUUAUUUGGCUGCAUUGGGUCUUAGCUGAGGCAUGUAGGGUCUUUAGCUGUGGGAUGCAGGAUCUAGUUCCCUGACCAGAGGUGGAACCUGGGCUGCCUGCAUUGGGAAUGCAGAGUCUUAGCCAUUGGACCCCCAGGGAAGUCCCAGAUUUAUAUACUUUACGUAUUUAAAUAUCUGAGUGCAAUCUCUCCUUCCUCUUUUUCACCCAAAGUUUUCUUAGUAAAGAAUUUCACUGGUUUCUUCUUCCAGAUAAGCUUAAAUUUAUUCAUUGGGAAAUUUUAUUAGGGUUGUGUUAAGCUAGNNNNNNNNNNGCCUUUUCUCUGGCCCGGGCCCUUCUGGCCCCAUCUGCAGUAGGUGUCCAGUUGCAAACGGUUAGCACAAUUAGCCCAUUAGCUCCACUUGGUAUCCUGGUCUGUCACCAUCAUCAGUCAUCUAACUAUCGCAACAGCCUCUUAACUCUCCCUCCACUUCCCCUGUGCAUCCUGCAGGCUUCAUCUUUGUGGCCACAGUGGCCAUGUUCCCUGGCAGUAAUGGAUCACCCUGAUCCACCCCCCCCCAAUAAUAAUGGACACAGCAAACAGGAAGGGAGAGUCACAAACUUAUGGACAACGUCUCAAGAAAAAGAGAUGACAAAGUAGUCACAGAGGCCCAUAAUUAUACUGGAGAUUAAAAAAAAUUAAUUUACAUAUAGUAAAAUUCACUCUUUUUGGUGUACAGUUACUUUAAGUCUUGACAAUGCAGAAAGUCAUGUGAUGAUUACCACAAAUAAGAUACAGAUACGCUCCGUGGCUCCUGAAGUUUUACCCAGGCUGUAGUCAACCCUCCUCUGCCCCCACCCUACCAACUCCUGGGGACCACCGAUCUGUUCUCCAUCUCUUGGAGUUUUGCCUUUUCUAGAAUGUCAUAUAAAUGUCGUAUACAUGGAAUCAUUCUGUUUGGAUUCCUUUGAGGCUAGCUUCUUUCACUCAGCAUAAUGCUUUUGAGA